UAAAAAUGAAACAGGAAAAGCAUAUUCCAGGAUUACUUUUUCAUUUGCAUAGAAAGACACUUUAAAGGAGUGGAUGAUACGUCAGACUCUGAUUCUGAGAUUGUCAUCACAUCAAGGAGCACAGGUUUUUGAACCACAAAACCAAAGUACUCCCCAACACAAACCUGAUGAUGAAAGAUAGUAAGAUCUGAUACUGAGGAUCUGGAUCCACCUGAAACAAAUCCAGACAAGACUUCUUGCUACAGGG